CGCCCUUCAGAGGGGGACAACAGUUGGAAACGACUGCUAAUACCGCAUACGAUCCAAUCUCGGCAUCGAGGAUGGAUGAAAGGUGGCCUCUAUUUAUAAGCUAUCACUGAAGGAGGGGAUUGCGUCUGGUUAGCUAGUUGGAGGGGUAACGGCCCACCAAGGCGAUGAUCAGUAGCCGGUCUGAGAGGAUGAACGGCCACAUUGGGACUGAGACACGGCCCAG
rnacentral:rRNA from 1 species